AAGCUGGGCCUCACACUGCGCGAGAACUCAUUAGUACGAAAUUUGCAGAAGCCCUAUCUGUGAUUUUGAUAAGAAAAAUAACAAGUUAGGUUCCGCAUUGUAUUAAUGUUGGAAGUAGUAAUGGGAGCAUUUGCAUAUGAGAAAUAAACAAAGCAGAAUAGAAUAGCCGAUCCAGGACCGACUUACUCUCAUUAGAAGGCUAUAGUAAUAUAGGGCCCACGAUCUUCCGGUGCAAACAAAGAAUUUUUUUCUAGAAACCAAACUCACGUUUCUUAUAAAAUAUGAUACACGAGUCCCUUGCUUCUUGAGAGGUCAUCAUAUGGUCAAUACACAGUGGAAGGGGACAUGUAGGUAACCAGGAAGAGACAAGGCCAUUUCAACUGUAAAUUGAUCCUAAAAUGACUUGAAAACAAACUUACAGGUUUAUUGAGAAACAGUAACAAAAAAACAAACAAACAAAAUGGCUUGAGCAUCUCUACCCACUACUACCUCCCUCCCCCCCGUUAUCUAUCGUCAGCCCGUACCCAGGAUUUUUUUGGGGGAGGGGGGUAGGGAUUGAUUUUUCAGAUAAAAUUUUUAUGCCUUUGCAGUAUUUCCAAGGGACGUUUAUUUUCGAAUUAGGCUACAAAUAGUCUGUAUUAUGGAUUAAUGACACACCAGAGUGAUCUAGCUUAUGCUUUAUAGUUUUGUCUACAAAUAUGUUACAAUAUUUAAAAUGAGUUCAUUAAUGAAGUAAAACACACUACAGAGAAAAAAAAACUACAACCAUGAUAUAUGCUUUGUUAUGAUGAUGCUUUGUUUUUAUUACUAAGCACAUAUUCUUGUGUUGUUUAAAGCAAAUGGGAUCUGCUAUUGUUUGAGUCCUCCAAGGACUGGGCCCAAACAAUAGUCCGCGAGCUUUGUCAUUUAUCGUGUAGCAUGGUCUACGGAAACUGUGAAUUGCGUGAUAAAACAACAAAAUAACGGUUAAAGAUCAGUCAAUAAAACUUUCAGAAUAAAAAUGCGCAAAAAAUGUUAUUGUGUGCGCGCCACAAUUUCAGUGCGAAAAUAUCGCUAUGUCUAGGGUAAAUUUACAGAUCAAUCACUUACAUCCCCAUCCACCUUCCACUCCUCCGCUACCAACAGCUAGUCCUUAUCGUAAGAAAAGAAAUGAACAAAAGUAACGCCCUUUUUUUUCUUAAAUUUUGAGUCUGUUUUGUGCUUUAAAUUUUAUUGACCUUUAGUGAUUUCAAAUAAAAAUUAUAUAUGCCUGCCUACUUAAAAGACGCAUUAUGCAUAGGGAGUUUUUUGUAUCAGUUUUUUGCUAUACGAAAACGAUUUAAUUUGAUGUCAUUUUUAAAGCAGAAAUACAAUACAUG